UGGGGAAUAUUGGACAAUGGGCGCAAGCCUGAUCCAGCAACGCCGCGUGGAGGACGAAGGUCUUCGGAUCGUAAACUCCUGUCAGGUGGGGCGAAGGCUGCGGGAUGAAUAAUCCUGUAGCUUGACGGUACCACCAGAGGAAGCCCCGGCUAACUCCGUGCCAGCAGCCGCGGUAAUACGGAGGGGGCGAGCGUUAUUCGGAAUUAUUGGGCGUAAAGGGCGCGUAGGCGGCUCGAUAAGUCAAAGGUGAAAUCCCUCGGCUCAACUGAGGAACUGCCUUUGAAACUGUCGAGCUUGAGUCCGGGAGGGGGUGGCGGAAUUCCCAGUGUAGCGGUGAAAUGCGUAGAUAUUGGGAGGAACACCAGUGGCGAAAGCGGCUACCUGGACCGGAACUGACGCUGAUGCGCGAAAGCGUGGGUAGCAAA
rnacentral:rRNA from 1 species